rnacentral:misc_RNA from 1 species
AAGUCGUAACAAGGUUUCCGUAGGUGAACCUGCGGAAGGAUCAUUAUCGAGUUAGGGUCCUCUGGGCCCAACCUCCAAACCCAUGUUUAACUACCCUGUUGCUUUGGCGGGUCGUGGUGACCAUUUGCCCCGCCGGCUCCGGCUGGCGCGCGCCCGUCAGAGGUCUUUUUAAAAAUCUCUUUUAAACCGUGAAAACAGUCUGAAACACAAAAAAUAAGCACAAAAACUUUCAACAACGGAUCUCUUGGUUCUG